CGCAUAGAAGGAAUGAUAUAAAAAACACAAUAUUAACAGGCUGAGAAAAAUAUCAAAAACAAUUUUUAUCCAUAAAAAAAAAAAAAAAAAUUGGCGUGUAAGCCAAAGGAGAUAACGAUUCCCUUAAUUUUUUUUUAUUAAGCUGGGCUUUUCAUAAAAGAAACAAAGCACAACAAAAGUAACAGAAAAAGUCCCAAAAUAAAACGAACCAAGCCCAAACAGAAAGGAAACCUAAAAAAGCCUAAAAGAAAGUCCAAUGAAAACAGCUCCCAAACACGCAACAACCAGGAUAGCACCGAACAAGAACAAGGAGCUGUUCAGAAAAUCCUUUGGAAAGCACUACCCAUAGCCAAAGAGUUGCUCCCAAAACCAAACAAAAUCAUCUAUGAUAGUGGCUCAAACCCUAUUGAAGGAGGCACCAUCACUGGAAAAACAAAGAUCCCGACACACAUAGAGAUCCAGAAUCCUGUCCGAGAGUCAACGAAAACACCUGCAAACAUCAAGAAACCAUCGAGACUCCCAAGCUUCCCCCAAUAAAACCAGAUCCCGACCGCCGCGAAGCUAACCAGCAUGAGGUCUCAGGGAGGAGGUCGGCUCCCCCAAACACAUACCGCGUCGAUCCGUCUCCACGGCCAGAAGAGCGAACUCUGGGAUCCCCCCCUUCUUUGAAUAACACGGCCCUCACCCCGAAGGCCCUUAGUAGCCAACAGGUGGGCCACAGAGUUUCCCUCAUGGGGAACAUGCAGGAACCGACACAAAUGGAACUGCCCGAUCAAGCCCUUGAUAUAACUGAUGUAAUAACCGAUUCGUCAUGAUGAUGAGAAUAAAGUUUACGAGUCACAGUCAGAGAGUCUCCUACAAAGAUUACCUCUUGUAAGCCCAAUUCGAGACCCAAUCGUAUAGCAUGGUAGCAGGCCAGAGCUUCCGCAGCAAAAGCAGAAGGUCAUCAACGUAGGCGCGUGGAAAGCAUCAUCAAAGUUCACUUUUAAGCAAGAACCUUCAGGAUCAAUGCUCAGGUCCAAUCAGACGUCCAGGUAGCUUCGCAUGCACCGCGUCAAACUCCAACAGAGUACACACCACUGAUCUGGAAACAGAAAUGCUAUGCACAAUAAAAUCAUAUAGCAACCAAUCCUGAAAGGAAACAUCAGUCAAUUCACUAGGCCAUGUAACAUGCAGCUCUGCCCAAACACGCGAUGUCGAAAUGUAGUCCCGAAAAAUAUGUUCCAACGUUUUAGCCGAGGCCAUGCACCAAGGGCAUAGUGGUGAUGCGCGAAUCCGCUUGUUGUAAGAUUGUAAUAGCUAGGAAUAAAAUUAUGAAAAAUACGUCACGCUGUUAUUUUUAUUCUUGCCGAAA